rnacentral:rRNA from 1 species
UACGUAGGGGUCCGAGCGUUGUCCGGAAUUAUUGGGCGUAAAGGGCUCGUAGGCGGUUCGUCACGUCGGGAGUGAAAACUCGGGGCUUAACCCCGAGCCUGCUUCCGAUACGGGCAGACUAGAGGUAGGCAGGGGAGAGCGGAACUCCUGGUGUAGCGGUGGAAUGCGCAGAUAUCAGGAAGAACACCGGUGGCGAAGGCGGCUCUCUGGGCCUUACCUGACGCUGAGGAGCGAAAGCGUGGGUAGCGAACAGG